UCCAUGAGGGCUGCAAACUUCCCUUCUGAAUGGAAGCUGAGGGUUUUUUCUUCUCUUCCCUGCAGCCGCACGGGUUCAAGAGCUCGGGCUCCAAGAGGCGCAAUAAGCGAUUGUGUUGCGAGUCUUGGCAGCGCCAAAUCCGUGAGGAGAGGCUGGUGCAAACAGGAGAGCACAGGGCUACACCUCUUUAACUCACCUCAGGUCAUGUUAAUUGUGGAUCACACCAUCUCUUGAAGAAAGAGGGCAUGAGUUCAGGACCUGCGUUUUCCUGGGCUGCUGUGUGACCUUGGGUAAAGCAGUUCACUUUACACAGCUGGAUUUUGACUGUCGUUGAAAUGGAAAUAAAGAUACAUUUUCUCUUUUCAAGCAUUGAGUAAGAGCCUCAAUGCAUUGCUGUGGGUUAAUCCUUUGGAGUCUUUCUCUUCCCCACUUCUUUUUGAAAACAAGGUCAAUAUGCUUUGAGAUCACAGGAGAAAAAACUCGUGUGAGUUUUACUUAUUUUACAUGUAAGAGGAAGCCUUACCUAGAUCUUGCCCACUGAGAGUUGUAAUUUAUCAAAGGAAGAAGAUAGCUGUAGGCUUGUCAGUGCAUUGAACUGAACCAUAUUGGGAGGGUAGGAGGAAGCUCCAGAAGAUUUUCAAGCACUAAGCAUAAAAAUUAAUGACAAUGUAAAACCCAUGUGAAAAGGAAAAAAUUGUAUCCAUUUCCAGAUACAAAUAACUGCAUCCAAUAACCCUUACAAUCGUGCAUGCAGUAUGUGGCUAUGCAAUUAAAAAU
rnacentral:lncRNA from 12 species